UCUGGUGCAGCCCCAGUGACUGAGACCAGGUGGCCCUCAGAGCAGCAUGGAUCUGGGGAGAGGCCAGGGCUGGGCUCUGGGUCAUCUCCAUUCACCGGGUGAAGGCUGCCCUGGGAAAGCUGCGCGGCUCUGGCGGGCAACUGCCACCCACUGGGCUGCUCUGCAGAGGCUGAGGGCACAGGGCUGUCACCAACAGUACCUCAGGUGGGGAAGUCCCCCUUGCCAACACAGGGAGGAUCUGGGUGGCUCAUCACAGCAGCCGAUAAGGUAAACCUCCAUUUUGAGCAACUGAGGAUGUUUGAAGAUAAGUUUCAAGGGCAAAGCUAUAAAUUCAGGUUUGGGGUAUGGAAGUUGAAAUCUGUGGGUCACCUGCAGAGAAACGCUCCAGAAUGUCUGGCUCAGAUUUCAACCCGGAGGCGAUGGUCAACGUGAGGGAAAACAGGCCCAAACCAGACUGGAGAAGAAGGAAGGAGAAGCAUGAAAAGCUGCUGCUCCCAGAUCCAAGGGAAGGCAGGGUUCAGGCAGGAGGCAGCAGACAAGGAGCCCAGAUCGUGUGCUGAACUCUGCAAAACCCGCUGAGCUCUCGCAGAUACUUGGUGGACCCAGGGGAGGGGAGGCAGCUUGGCUGCGAGGCGCUGAGGACCCCAGGGCGUGAGGCACGUGGCUGCGUGAAGACGGGAGGUGGUUCCAGUCCACGGGGGAAGGAGAAUCCUGGGAGGGCAGAGGACCUGGGGUCAAGAGACGCUUGGUUUUGAUUUAAGACUAGAAAGAGGGCAAAGGAAAGCAGUGGGAGCGUUCAUGGGACCGGGGACGGAGGCCUUCAUUGUCUGAUGGGUGGGUGUGGACAGAGUGUCACAGAAGUGGUGGGUACGGGGUUUGAGAAAAGUUUGAGAACUUCAACAGAGCUGCCGAGAGGGAUUCUUCAUUUACUCACUCAACAAAGGGAGGGAGCUCUGUGGAGAUGGGGGGAUGCUCCCUGAGAAGAGCAGGGGGACCCUCCGGAGGCUGGAGAGAGCCGGGUCCUCCCAGGCUCGCUAUGUUCUCAGGAGCGUGAGUGGGAGUCAGUGUCCUCACUGGGUCGAAAUACCUGAAAUAGCUUAGCGGGAGGAAAGGCCUAUUGGGCUCAAGGUUUCAGAGGUUUCUGUCAGGAGUCACUUUGCAGCACAGGAUGUCAUGGUGGCACGUGUGGUGGGGAGGUCUGUCCCCCUCUUGGAGGCUGGGAAGCAAAAAGGGAAAUAUUCCCUCCAGGGGCACUAACCCCCACCCCCCUGCUCAACACCUCUGGCUGGGGACCAAGCCUGCACACAUGGCCUUAGAGGACACCUCCAAACCAGAGCAGAGAACCAGAGGGAGAGAAAAGUAGAGAGAUGGGCAGCGUCUGCUCACAGGUACUGUUGCAACUCUUUAAAAAACCGGGGGCUCUAUUCUCUGAAGUUCUACCAUGUAGGAAACUAACUUCAGGAAAGCACUUGAGAAGGGGAGUGAGGCAGUAUUUGUGUUUUAGAAAGUCCUCCCUGGUUUCAGUGUCGAGUGGACAGAGACUGCAACACAAGGUUUGGAGGUCAGCCAGGCUGCCCAUGAGUCCAGGUGAUGACAUGUGGGGACUCGACAGGUGGCUGGCCAGGAGAGCAGCGGCCAGGGGCAGGCUUCAGCUGCUGGUCUGUCUCCCCAGCGCGGAUCCCCAUGUCCUUCUGGCAAGCAGUUAAAGAAGGAGACCACUGAAUUCAGUCCUGAGCGGAGGGACCUGGGAUGGCUGUGAGCCAGGUCGGGUCUGGCACUGCCGGGAUCCAGCAGCACUCUGCAGUGUGUUUCCCAGCACCCUCCUUCCAGGUGGGCUCUGAGCGGGCUGCUCCUUAGACUCUCCGCUGUUGCUUUAGAAUCAGCAGACGCCAUCAGGCAAAGGGACUUGGAAUAUUAAGUUGCAUCUCAGGGCUCCCUUGGCAAGACCUUGUGAGCUCUGUAGUUCUCUAAACCUUUAAGAACAUAGGACUUGUUUUUAAAGUACUAUGUUCUACUAGUACUUGAUGGUAAGAUUGGCCCAACGAGCUGGAGUCGGAAGCUUCUCAGUCACCUCUGGAGGCUCUCAUUUCUAGGACAUUAGAGAACAGAAGACACCUCAUAAAGUAUCAGGCGCAUGUGAGGCCCAGCUGGUGCCAGCUGUUAUUGGUACACAAGAAAGGAGCACAUGUCUACAGGAGGAAUUGAAUAUCCACCGGCUGGCUACAGGAGCAACCCAGGAGGACACGUGGGGACUCGCUCCUGUGCACAGAUGGAAGAAACCACCUGAGCGGUCACAUUCCCCGAGGACAGAAGGGUGGGAAAGAAACAUUAGUAGGUGCGCAGAAAUGAAAUCUGGAGACAAGUGGGUGGAGGGACUCACAUCUGGGUUUUAACUUCCUACAUGAACAUAAUAGGAAAGAAAGAUGAUUUUCUGGAAGUGCGGGGAAUGGGAUCAAUGUAGGCUUUAAGGAAAGUGGAGGAAUGUGUCACAAGUACUGUGCAGAAAGCCCCGGGGUGGAGUGCACGUGACUCCAGGGCGUCCUGGGCGCAGCAGCACUGGCUGUGUGGGACUGCGGCUGCGGGGAGAGCAAGUGGGCCCAGGGCUCCCCGAGGACCACUGAGAACAUGAGGCAGGGUCACCAGCAAGGGCGGUCAGAGGAGCAAUAGGACAGGGAGUGGCACGAGGGAGAGGGAACUGCAAGUCAAAUGCUAGGAGCCCUGAGAGGAGCCAGACUGGCACGUCCAAGGGGAGAGGAGAGAGCCUGGAAGUACACGCCCCACUUACCAGAAGAAAAGUCCAGGUGCACGAAGACCAGAGACCCGAGGAGCACAGCCAGUCCCAGUCCCCCUCCCGUCCAGGAGAGGGCACCUACUUGGUGGGACGAGGGGGCUUCUCCCACCAGGAGACAGCAGGUGGAUGUUAAUGGGCCAGGGUUCAAGAAAGUCUAUGAAGGACACGGUGGGGGUGGGUGUCACCUCCAGCCAGAGGAAGAUGAGACCCAAGAGCAGCAGAAACAGGACCUCGAAAGAGGUGCAGAGACACCGAGAGGGGAAAUCAGUGGACGAGGACACCUAGGCAGCUCCUGCCGGUGCGUCCCGUCUGCUCCAGGAGGCAAAGUAAAGGCAAACACGGGAGGAGGAGAUAGAAGACACGGGAAAGGAGCCAAGUGGACCUCUAGAGACGAAGAAUACAGUGUCCAGAAACACAGCGACGCACGAGAUACUGUCUGUAGUCUGUUUGGAGAAGCAGGCACGUCCACAGGAGCUGCGGGAUUCUGAGCGCAGGGUGCCAGGUGCGCACUGAAGGGCACCACCUUCAAGGAGCGCUCCGUGAGUUCUGGGCCCCCGAUGCCGCUGUUGUCCCGCCCAGGUCUGGACCCUGAGCAAGACACACUGAUGUUAUGAGAAGUGCUGGGUUCAGGACCUCACCAUGCCAGGUCUCCACGUUAUUCAGUAUCACUGACUGUAUCCCCACAAGCAGUGUUCGGGGACGCCAGGCCUCCGGCCCCUGGAGAAGAUCGCUCAAUGCUGAAGCCCCCCUCUAGGGACCUUCCCCACGGACACCACCAACUACAAAACAAAGCAUUGCAUUUAGUCCAUGGCUUCCUGCUUUGCACCCACCACAGCCCCUACACCCCUUUCUUCUAACAACACAUGGCACGUGUCUCUUCCACUUGACUCUAGGCACAAUGACGACCGGGAGUCUCACUGCUUUUGUGUGUGAAGCAUUCUCCUGAUCGUGGAAAGAUACACAUGACUUGACCUUUUGCAUUUUAAAAACACACAACUUGGUGGCAUUAAUUGCACUCACAACAACGUUUGCCACUGCCACUGUGUAUUUUCAAAGUGUCUUAAGCAAGUUUUGCAUCCUUAUCACACUGCAUGGCCCAUGUGACUUUGAUGGUAAUUACCGACCGACUUGUUGAAUGGAUGCUUGGGUCAAUGCAUCGUCUGGAGCUUGGCAAUAAUAUGAGGAGUUAAGAUUUCCUCUGUUGCAUGCAGAAAAUGACAGGGAACAGAGGCUGCCAAUGGGAACCAGCUGCCCCUGUUGGGUGCGGCCACCCCUGAGGAGUGUGUUCAGAGGGGACCUGUGCUGAUGGCAGCCACCAGGCAGGCUCUCGGGGAGAUGCAGUAUGGCAGAGACACUUCAGUCAGGUGGGCCUGGUGGUGGUCGGGCCAGGUGGUUGGACUCCUACAAGCAUUUAGGUGCUACUCAAAAUGUCUGCAUAAGUAAGUUUUCUCCCCUUGUCUCUAAGAGGAGAACAUGAUGGUCCUAUUGCCACCUUUGGGGCUUUGGGAAAUAGCUUGAUAAUAAGGGCUCCUCGCUGUGCCUCAUUCACAGGCACACUUCAGGGAACCCAGUGUCUCAUAGGGACGGGACAGUUCAACAGGUGCAUCACAGGGACGGGAUAGUUCCACGGGUAUGUCACAGGGAUGGGAUGGUUCCCCGGGUAUGUCACAGGGAUGGGAGAGAUCCACUAGAGAUCCAGAUGAUGCUAAAAUCACCAAAGAGAGUUUAAUUUGAACAGUAUUCAUAAAUUUAAAAUUCAGCCUUUGUCGGCACUUGCAAAGCUCAUGUAACCUUCACAAAACCAAUUUACCAUUUCCGUGUUGCUGAGUUAUUUCAAUCCCUACAGUUGCCUGCCAGGGGAAGACACAGGGCACUCAGAGACAAGGCUGGUUUAGAGCAGGGCUUUCAUUAGGUACACACUGGGGAACCAGGGACUUCCUUUGAAAUUCUGCCUUUUCUUUUUCACCCUUUUAAAUGUUGUUCUUGAUACAUAUUUGUACAUUUAUGGAGUACAGUAUGAAAACUUGAUAUAUGUAUCUGAUGUAAAGUGAUUAAAUCAAGAUAAUUAUCUCUUCUAUCUCUGUGAACACCCACCAUUUCUACUUAUUGGGAAACUUUUGAAACACAUGCUAACUUGUCACCCUCCUGUGCCCUGGAGCACCAGAACUGCUGUUUCCUCUCGAAUGGGUGUUGGGGCCUGUUGUAGGACCUCUGCAGUCCCUCCCCGACACUUCCCAGAUCCUAGUGACCACUCUUCUCUCUACCAUCUUUUAACUUCCGCAAAUGAGUGAGGGCGAGAGAUGUCUGUCAGUGCCCGGCUUACUCCCUUAACACAAGGUCCUCCAGUUCCAUCUAUGUUGCCACAAAUGACAGGGUUUCAUUCUUUUCAAGGCUCAAUGACUUUUCCUUAUUAUGUACCUCACUGGCUUUAUCCAUUCAUCCAUCUGUGGACACCUCGAUCGACCCUGUAUCUUGGCUAUUGUGAAUAGUUCUACAAGAAGCCUGGGAUUUCUCUUUGAUAUACUGAUUUCAUUUCCUUUGGAUCUAUACCCAGUGGUGGGAUAGAUGGAUCAUAUGAUUGUUCUAUUUUUAAGUUUGGGAGGAAGUUCCAUACUGUCUUCAGGUUGGCUGCAGUGAUUUCUAUUUCCACCAACAGUGUAGCAAUUCCCCUUUCUCUGCAUUGUUGCCAACAUUUGUUAAUUUGUAUCUUUAUGACAAUAGCCAUUCUAACUGUGGUGAAUGGCUUUUCAUCAUGGUUGUGAUUUGCAGUAGAUGAUUAGUGAUGUCAAGCAUUUGUUCAUAUAUUCAUCAGCCAUUUGAAUGUCUUCUUUUGAAGAAGUAGCUGUUUGGAUCAAUUGCCCAGGGUUAAAUUGGGCGUUUUCCCAUUGAGUUGUCUGAGCUCAUUCUGUGUUGAGGUUUGGAGCUGGACCGUCCCCCAGUGUGUUGAGGCAUCAGUGUUCCAAAGCGGGGCUUUCAGGAAGUUAUUGAAUCACAAGGGUGCUGACCUCAUCAGUGGAUUAAUCCACUGAUGGAUUCAUAAUUUGGUGGCAUUAAUGGGAGGUGGUAGCCAGACACACAGACACACGGAUCAAGAUUUCCUUUUUCCCACCUGGUGCUGCCACAAGGCACUAUAUGCUCUUAGGUGGGACAAACAACUUCUUGCUUGAGAGUCUUGAAAUAGGAAGGACCCCACAGGAGGCUUGAGAGGCCCCGGUGACCCAGGCUGUCACUUAAGUUCUAUUCAUUCACGCUAUUCCACCUUCAGGUCACGUAGCUCUGGAACUCUUGUGCAUGGAUGUUCUGCUUAUAAAUAAGCCUGUGCUCUGAAAUUUCUCUCUGAAAAUACUGCCCUGGUUGUUUCUCAGAUCUUUUUGUGCCAAUCAAUCACACUUAGGCCUAAGUAAUUUGCAGUAGUUUGAGGUUUUCCUCCAUAUCUGUCAUUGAAAUGGAACUCCCAUAAACAGCAAUAGAUUUCAAUUCAUGUCUCCUUGAGCAAUCAUUUAGAUUAGGAGUUGUCACUUACUUUAGUGCAUUUUCUGUACAAAACCCCACGAAGCUAGAGACUUUAUAAAGAAAAGAUGUUUAUUUAGUUUUGAGGCUGAAACUCCCAGAUUAAGUAGCUUCUUCUCUGGUGAGGGGUCCCCCUGACUGAGUCACAGCAUGGUUGAUGGUGAGACUGUGUGCAAGGAGGAGAGAUCACAUGAUAAGGCAGGAAGCCAGAGAGCAGAGAAGGGUGUCCUGCUUUUUUACAACCACCCACUCUCAUGGGAACUGCUCACUCUGCUGGACCAACAUGAAUCUUUUCCACAGACAGAAACACAGUGACCUACACUCACCAGUGUCCCCGCACACAGACCCUGGAGGACCUACCACGUCCAAACCACAGCAGGGCAUUUUCUGGAAGGGACACAUAGUAAAUACCUUAGGCUCUGCAGGCCAAGUGGUUUCUGCUGCAAAAGCUCAGCAGUCACAGCUGCAUGUGGACUAGCAAGUGGCCGUCUCCCCAGGGCCUUUGUAUAGAAGCAGACAUCUGGCAGGACUUGCCAGGCCGGGGCUUGCUGAGCCCAGCCCAAUGGCUCUCCAGUCCACCUACUUUCUUUUAUUUUUCUGUGCUAGUUAUUGCAGCUGAGAUUUGUGACAGUUUCUAAAUUGUCAUAAACUAUCUCUACAUUGGUGUGGUUUUCUUAAAAUCAAAACAUAAAAAAGUACUUUUCAAUAUUUUUUUCACAUUUUUAUAGAUUAAAAACCACACAAUAAAUGCCACCUGGCUAUAUUUUAAUUCUUUUUCUGAACACAAGAACAUAUAUUCAUGCAGUUAUAACCCAUAUAGGAAUUCCAUUUUUCUAUUUUGUGAUUUAUAUUCAAUAUUAUUUUGAAGAGCCAUUGUUAUGAGUUGACACAUUAUCUUGGUUAUUUUAAAAAGUUUACUCAGUAAGUAUUUCAUUAUAAAUCUGGCUUGCUAAAAAUUCUCCUAUUGCCAAACAUUUGGAUUUUUUUCCCAUGAGCUAAAUAGGGCUGCUGUAAAAUUCUUUGACACACAAGAGAGUUAAAAUCCAAACAUAAAAGCUAUAUUACUUCUGCUAGCUCUACAAAUGAUCGUGUCUGAAACAUGAUAACAGUACACUCUCAAAAACACUGCCAGAUAAUUAUUUUUUAAAAUGCAACUAGACUGUAAACUCACAGGAUGGCUCUAUCACACCCAAUGAUCUGUCAGACUGCCCAGUGUGGCUUUCACCGAGAUCUGUGACUUGACCUGAAAUGGUUUUUAAAAUUCUGAAGUUCCCUACAGACACUGUGUAUUCCUUUCCAUAUUCAAUGGUGCAUCUCAAUGUUACUAUGUAAACUCAGAUGUGCUGAUAAAGACUUCAGUCUAUGUCCAAAUACUGUACUCUGUACUCUAAAUCAGACGGUUUUGUUAAUACUGUCUCCACCCUCAUAAUUAGCCUGCAGAUGCCAUCGAGUUCAAGCUCAAUGUUUCCUUUUCCCCCAAGGGAAGGUUGAGUCUGCAGACUGGCUGUUCAGGGCUCAGGGGUUGGUUGGUCAUUCCAGGUCCAGCAGUGGGUUCUUGCCUUUUAGACCUUGGACAUUGAAGUCUAAAGGAGCAGACAGGGACGGAUGAGCAUUGUGAGGACGUGCUCUGAGGCUGCCUUGGUGCCCUGAUGGCUCUCAUGCAACAGGAGCACCUCGGAAAUACAAAUCAAGACAAUCGAGACAGUCGGGCAUCCGGACACAUCCUUGUAACUUUCAUUAUACCUGAUUUGCUUCUUCAAGCACUUAAGCUGGCAAGAGAUAGCUUCACAGAGAAGGUACACGUGGUCUAGGUCAAUGCUCCUCAAACUGCCAUUGGUAAAGAACAUGUUUUUGUUAUUUUUUUCAAUAUGCUACCAAUUUGUACUUUACUUUUAUAAAAUGUGAUAAAUAUUUUAUAAAAUGUGAUAAAAGUAAUUAUCAGAAAAAUAAAUGGAAAGCAGACAUGCUUGA